rnacentral:rRNA from 1 species
UUCGAUUCCGGAGAGGGAGCCUGAGAAACGGCUACCACAUCUAAGGAAGGCAGCAGGCGCGCAAAUUACCCAAUCCUAAUACAGGGAGGUAGUGACAAGAAAUAACAAUACAGAACCUUACGGUUUUGUAAUUGGAAUGAGUUAAGUAUAAACCCCUUAACAAGUAUCAAUUGGAGGGCAAGUCUGGUGCCAGCAGCCGCGGUAAUUCCAGCUCCAAUAGCGUAUAUUAAAGUUGUUGCAGUUAAAAAGCUCGUAGUUAAUCUUCUGUUAAUUUUUAUAUAUAAUAUUUCGGUAUUUAUAUAAUAUUAACAUAAUUCAUAUUACUUUUUAGUAUAUGAAACUUUACUUUGAGAAAAUUAGAGUGCUUAAAGCAGGCUAUUGCCUUGAAUACUCCAGCAUGGAAUAAUAUUAAGGAUUUUUAUUCUUCUUAUUGGUUCUAGAAUAAAAAUGAUGAUUAAUAGGAACAGUUG